CGCAGCCGCGGUAAUUCCAGCUCCAAUAGCGUAUAUUAAAGUUGUUGCAGUUAAAAAGCUCGUAGUUGAAUUUCGGGAUUUAUCCGUCGGUCGGGCUUUUGGGUCUGUACUGGCGUGAUGGAUUUCUACCCUCUGAAUAUCCGGCAUGUCAUUAAUUUGGUGCGCCGGGGAAGCGGGACUGUUACCUUGAAAAAUUAGAGUGCUUAAAGCAGGCUAUUGCCUGAAUACAUUAGCAUGGAAUAAUAAAAUAGGACGGCAUGGUUCUAUUUUGUUGGUUUCUAGGAUCACCGUAAUGAUUAAUAGGGAUAGUCGGGGGCAUUAGUAUUCAAUUGUCAGAGGUGAAAUUCUUGGAUUUAUUGAAGACUAACUUCUGCGAAAGCAUUUGCCAAGGAUGUUUUCAUUAAUCAAGAACGAAAGUUAGGGGAUCGAAGACGAUCAGAUACCGUCGUAGUCUUAACCAUAAACUAUGCCGACUAGGGAUCGGACGAUGUUAAUUUUUAAUGACUCGUUCGGCGCCUUA
rnacentral:rRNA from 1 species